rnacentral:lncRNA from 1 species
UUUAGACAUUUUUUUAGGAGAAUUUUAGAAAGUACUACAACAAAAGCAAACCAAUAGUAUAUGCUCAAAUGCACUAUUAACUCUCUCUCCAGAUAACCAAAUAGAGAUAUGUUUAUAUUUUAUUAAAUUGAUGAAGUGUAUGUUAGUUUAAAUUAAUAUGUACAUGCAAUUUUAAGGUUUUAAAAAUCAGCAUUUUUAUUGGAUUAUCUCCCUUUGUACAAUAGAAAUUCAGAUUUUAUCCACACUGUCUCAGGUACUCAUGAUCAAAAUGACUUAUAUGGUAACCAGCAUGCAAGUAAAAGGUUGCAACGUGUCUUAAUUUUGUUUACCUGUCAGACACAACUUCUGAAUGUCAAUACUUAAGAUUUUUCAAUAUGAUGAACUUGACAUUGAAUUUCAUAUCAUUUUUCAGUAACCAGAAUACAACUUUAGUAAUUAGCAAAGCUGCAAUAACCAAAAAUGGGAUUACUAGGAAGAAAUGAAUGGAUUUUACUCUUUAAAGUAAUAGGGACAAGUGUACUAAAGGAAUUUGGAAUAAAAAAAAAUACCAAAAAAAAAUUGUCUUUGGCAGCUCCCCCCCUUUUUUAAGCCUAAUGCUUACUAUUGUUUGUGACACAAAAAUCCAUUUCACUUUGAAUUUUCUAUUUGAUUUACCUAUAUUGCAUGUUACAAUCUGUAUAAUUCAAGUAUUUAUUUUUGAAUGCUUGGUUUCAUUAAAAUAUGAGACUUUCCUCAAUUUAUUGCGAAAAUACAAAAAAAAGGGGGGAGGCUAUCUAAAUGAUCAAUAAAAUCUAUAAAAUUAAUUUGCAACCGAAAUCCCUUCAAAAUAUUUUGAACCAAAGAAAAUGCAAAGCAUUUCUGAAAUUUAGGGUAAAUUAAAGCGACUUUUGGGCUGUAGUGUCUGUUUUAGUGUGAUUUGAUGAAAAGGCCAUAUUUUUUAUCAUUUUAUGUGUUUUGCCACACCCUUAUUUUCUAUAUAUAUCAUUAUGUUUAAUAAAAUUAUGUGAUUUAUACUUCAUACACAUCCUAUCUGUGCUAUUAAAGUAUUUAAACACUCAGAAGUAUUAUAGUAUUUAU